rnacentral:rRNA from 1 species
AUUGACCGCUAGCGGGAUGCUUUACACAUGCAAGUCGAACGGCAGCGCGGACUUCGGUCUGGCGGCGAGUGGCGAACGGGUGAGUAAUGUAUCGGAACGUGCCCAGUAGCGGGGGAUACUACUCGAAAGAGUAGCUAAUCCGCAUACGCCCUACGGGGGAAAGGGGGGGAUCGCAAGACCUCUCACUAUUGGAGCGGCCGAUAUCGGAUUAGCUAGUUGGUGAGGUAAAGGCUCACCAAGGCGACGAUCCGUAGCUGGUUUGAGAGGACGACCAGCCACACUGGGACUGAGACACGGCCCAGACUCCUACGGGAGGCAGCAGUGGGGAAUUUUGGACAAUGGGGGAAACCCUGAUCCAGCCAUUCGAGUGUGCGAUGAAGGCCUUCGGGUUGUAAAGCACUUUUGGCAGGAAAGAAAUCGCACGGAUUAAUACUCUGUGUGGAUGACGG